UACGUAGGGUGCGAGCGUUGUCCGGAAUUACUGGGCGUAAAGAGCUCGUAGGUGGUUUGUCGCGUUGUUCGUGAAAACUCACAACUCAACUGUGGGCGUGCGGGCGAUACGGGCAGACAGGAGUACUGCAGGGGAGACUGGAAUUCCUGGUGUAGCGGUGGAAUGCGCAGAUAUCAGGAGGAACACCGGUGGCGAAGGCGGGUCUCUGGGCAGUAACUGACGCUGAGGAGCGAAAGCGUGGGGAGCGAACAGG
rnacentral:rRNA from 1 species